GCGAGGCUCCGGGCCCCUCUGGCGGCAUGCGGUCGCGAUGUCGGAGCGCCUUC
rfam:Magnetospirillum moscoviense strain BB-1 NODE_118_length_5777_cov_153.803_ID_9215, whole genome shotgun sequence.